ACCCUUUCUUUUAAUAUCAUCCUUCCAUCCUUAAAAUAACUUCUACAUUGAAUCCUAACCCUUUCUCUCGUUAAAUCAACAGACCAGAUCAAUUCUAUAAAUCUUCCCUAUUUUAGCUCUAAGAGAUAAAACCCUAAAACUCUAUCCUCUCUUCCUCUCCCUCUCCAGUGCAGCCUCCCUCUCUCCUUCUUCUAGGAGGCAGCAGCGCCGCUACUCUUUCUCCUCCACGACGAGCUCCGGCGAAAUGUGUCCGACGCCGUCCUCUUUCUCCUCUCUCGCCUGACCCUUUCCCUUUACCCUCGCUCUUCCACCUUCUCCUCUCUCCUCUCUUCUCCAGGCCAGGUGAGGAGAAUAACAGAAUCUCCAACGACAGUAAGCAACAGUAAUUGGAGAGAACUAGCGAGGCAGUGCAGCCAGCAGCUCCGGCGAUGCAGUGAAACCAGGCUAGACUCACCGGCGUAAGUGUUAAGCUGGUCUCCCUAUCUCAUCUCUUUCCUCUCCUUUUCUAGUGAAAUAAGCAGAACUCCGGUCAGCAAAUUCUCAUUUUCGUUUGAGUUUGGUGUGAUUUUUUUAUUUAAUUUUUUUUGGGCAUGUUAUAGUCUAUAGAAAAUUAUGUGAUAUACUAAUCGUUGCAUUUAUAUUUUUAUAUAUUUUACUCUUACUUUUAUCAUCGAAAUUGAAGUUUGUUCAUUACAUGUAUGGUGAUUCUUCUGAUUUCCCUAAACCUGCGUAAUUAUUAUUGUUAAUUUUUCAAUCUGUGAAUCUUUGCAAUAUCCAUGCUCAUACAGAUAGUCUGCUGUGAUUUGAGUUUCCUUUUUGUUAGUCAUGACCUUGAUUCAAUUUCGUAGGAGCUAAAGAUGAUGUAUGAUUCUGUGUAAUUGUUUUUCCUAAAUUGGAAGUCCUCUAUUAUUGAAAUGCCUUCCCUCAUCAAUUAAAAUCAAUUUAGUCUUAUGCUGCUAAAUUUGCCUAUAUUUACUACAAUCAUAGUGUAUUUGAUUUCUCAAGGUGAUCGAAUAGUGGUUAUUCAUUUGAUUUGCCAUUGGAGCCUAUCAAUUCUUAUCUUAAUAAGGUAGCAAGUACCAGAAACCAGUGGUCAAAGUUACGUUUUGAUUCUUGACUUAUAUGUUAGAUAUUUCUUUCGUUUAAUAUUUUAUUUGUUCUUUUUUAGUGUGAUUGGACAUAUUAUGGCAUUAAUAAUAUCUUUUUACCUUAAUUAAGUGGAAUGUUCUUAUUAAUAUUAUAUUUGGUUAGUGUUGACAAUUUUUGCAUUUAGUGUGUGUGCCCUAUUUAAAUGAUUGCAACUUUAUAUAUAUAUGUAUCAAUAUAUACGUGAACGAUAUCUGAUUAUGUAUGUUCGCUUUUUUAUGUAUUCGGUUGUAUUGUCUCUUAGCAGGAUCUUGAUUUUAGAGUUCAAGGUUUUAAAGAAUCCUUUUUUUAGAGGCGAAAUCAGAAUUUUCAAGAAGAGGGUUCAAACUCGAUAAAGGGGGUUUAACAUCUACUAUAUAUACAUAAAAAAUUAUUUUAACCAUGUAUAAGUAAUAUAAUUUUUCGCCGAAGGGGAUUCGAAUGAACCCUCUUGGUUCAAGGUGGCUCCUCCCCUGGUCGCUUUGGAGAAGAUGUCGAUGGAUUUUAGUUUCUUUGUGUAUCUCUUUCGGUUUUAUUUUGGUUUUGCAAUAAUUUGUAUAAAACUGUAACUCUAGUAUAUAUGUGCAAAUAAAUUUGAGGGAUCAUCUAAGGAAGGAGAAAUUACGUACUAAUUGUUAUUUUAUUUGCAAACUUAUUUGUUCUUAGAAAGCAUGCCUAUAAGACUGUUGAUGAAUCAUUCCUAUUUUAAUAAUUUC
rnacentral:lncRNA from 1 species